rnacentral:misc_RNA from 1 species
UUGCUUCAUCUUCCAUCGUUUCGUCCUUACGACAUCAUCCGCUCUGAGAAAUUCGUCGCUUUCUUCAUCGGCUCCGCUUCUUCCUCGAGUUGUCAAAUUAGAAAAAAGACAAAAGCACCAGAAAAUGAACAUCCAAGCAACUCAUUGACAAACGAAACUGAACUUUUACCCUUGCUCCUUAAGGACUACACCAGCGAGGUCCCUCAUCCACUUGAAGGACGUCGGCAUUGGUUCACUAAUGAAAACAUUGUGUAUGAAAAUGGCGACUACUCUACUCCGCAGCCUAAAACCUCAAGAUAUGUUGGCAACCAUCAAAGUACAGCUGACAAAGAGGGCAAAGACUUUUUACCAUCCAAUACUCCUGAAAGUUCCGCCAACACAUUAGAAAGCCCUGCAAAAAGUCUCGAAGACGUUUUUAGCUCAGCGUGGACUGGCCUUGAUAGGUUGCUAAAUCUAUUGCAUUUUUAG